GGGUUGUGAGGUUAAGCGACUAAGCGUACACGGUGGAUGCCCUGGCAGUCAGAGGCGAUGAAGGACGUGCUAAUCUGCGAAAAGCGUCGGUAAGGUGAUAUGAACCGUUACAGCCGGCGAUGUCCGAAUGGGGAAACCCAGUGCAAUUCGUUGCACUAUCGUUAACUGAAUACAUAGGUUAACGAGGCGAACCGGGGGAACUGAAACAUCUAAGUACCCCGAGGAAAAGAAAUCAACCGAGAUUCCCCCAGUAGCGGCGAGCGAACGGGGAGCAGCCCAGAGUCUGAAUCAGCUUGUGUGUUAGUGGAACGGUCUGGAAAGUCCGACGGUACAGGGUGAUAGUCCCGUACACCAAAAUGCACAGGUUGUGAACUCGAAGAGUAGGGCGGGACACGUGGUAUCCUGUCUGAAUAUGGGGGGACCAUCCUCCAAGGCUAAAUACUCCUGACUGACCGAUAGUGAACCAGUACCGUGAGGGAAAGGCGAAAAGAACCCCGGCGAGGGAGUGAAAAAGAACCUGAAACCGUGUACGUACAAGCAGUGGGAGCACCUUCGGGUGUGACUGCGUACCUUUGUAUAAUGGGUCAGCGACUUAUAUUCUGUAGCAAGGUUAACCGUAUAGGGAGCCGCAGGAAACCGAGUCUUAACUGGGCGUUAAGUUGCAGGGUAUAGACCCGAAACCCGGUGAUCUAGCCAUGGGCAGGUUGAAGGUUGGGUAACACUAACUGGAGGACCGAACCGACUAAUGUUGAAAAAUUAGCGGAUGACUUGUGGCUGGGGUGAAAGGCCAAUCAAACCGGGAGAUAGCUGGUUCUCCCGAAAGCUAUUUAGGUAGCGCCUCGUGAACUCAUCUUCGGGGGGUAGAGCACUGUUUCGGCUAGGGGGGUCAUCCCGACUUACCAACCCGAUGCAAACUACGAAUACCGAAGAAUGUUAUCACGGGAGACACACGGCGGGUGCUAACGUCCGUCGUGAAGAGGGAAACAACCCAGACCGCCAGCUAAGGUCCCAAAGUCAUGGUUAAGUGGGAAACGAUGUGGGAAGGCACAGACAGCGAGGAUGUUGGCUUAGAAGCAGCCAUCAUUUAAAGAAAGCGUAAUAGCUCACUGGUCGAGUCGGCCUGCGCGGAAGAUGUAACGGGGCUAAACCAUGCACCGAAGCUGCGGCAGCGACACUAUGUGUUGUUGGGUAGGGGAGCGUUCUGUAAGCCUGCGAAGGUGACCUGUGAGGGUUGCUGGAGGUAUCAGAAGUGCGAAUGCUGACAUAAGUAACGAUAAAGCGGGUGAAAAGCCCGCUCGCCGGAAGACCAAGGGUUCCUGUCCAACGUUAAUCGGGGCAGGGUGAGUCGACCCCUAAGGCGAGGCCGAAAGGCGUAGUCGAUGGGAAACAGGUUAAUAUUCCUGUACUUGGUGUUACUGCGAAGGGGGGACGGAGAAGGCUAUGUUAGCCGGGCGACGGUUGUCCCGGUUUAAGCAUGUAGGCUGGUUAUCCAGGCAAAUCCGGAUAAUCAAGGCUGAGGUGUGAUGACGAGGCACUACGGUGCUGAAGUAACAAAUGCCCUGCUUCCAGGAAAAGCCUCUAAGCAUCAGGUAACAUCAAAUCGUACCCCAAACCGACACAGGUGGUCAGGUAGAGAAUACCAAGGCGCUUGAGAGAACUCGGGUGAAGGAACUAGGCAAAAUGGUGCCGUAACUUCGGGAGAAGGCACGCUGGUGUGUAGGUGAAGUCCCUGCGGAUGGAGCUGAGACCAGUCGAAGAUACCAGCUGGCUGCAACUGUUUAUUAAAACACAGCACUGUGCAAACACGAAAGUGGACGUAUACGGUGUGACGCCUGCCCGGUGCCGGAAGGUUAAUUGAUGGGGUUAUCCGUAAGGAGAAGCUCUUGAUCGAAGCCCCGGUAAACGGCGGCCGUAACUAUAACGGUCCUAAGGUAGCGAAAUUCCUUGUCGGGUAAGUUCCGACCUGCACGAAUGGCGUAAUGAUGGCGAGGCUGUCUCCACCCGAGACUCAGUGAAAUUGAACUCGCUGUGAAGAUGCAGUGUACCCGCGGCAAGACGGAAAGACCCCGUGAACCUUUACUAUAGCUUGACACUGAACAUUGAGCCUUGAUGUGUAGGAUAGGUGGGAGGCUUUGAAGCGUGGACGCCAGUCUGCGUGGAGCCAACCUUGAAAUACCACCCUUUAAUGUUUGAUGUUCUAACGUUGGCCCCUUACCGGGGUUGCGGACAGUGUCUGGUGGGUAGUUUGACUGGGGCGGUCUCCUCCCAAAGCGUAACGGAGGAGCACGAAGGUUAGCUAAUCUGGUCGGACAUCAGGAGGUUAGUGCAAUGGCAUAAGCUAGCUUGACUGCGAGCGUGACGGCGCGAGCAGGUGCGAAAGCAGGUCAUAGUGAUCCGGUGGUUCUGAAUGGAAGGGCCAUCGCUCAACGGAUAAAAGGUACUCCGGGGAUAACAGGCUGAUACCGCCCAAGAGUUCAUAUCGACGGCGGUGUUUGGCACCUCGAUGUCGGCUCAUCACAUCACGGGGCUGAAGUAGGUCCCAAGGGUAUGGCUGUUCGCCAUUUAAAGUGGUACGCGAGCUGGGUUUAGAACGUCGUGAGACAGUUCGGUCCCUAUCUGCCGUGGGCGCUGGAGAAUUGAGGGGCUGCUCCUAGUACGAGAGGACCGGAGUGGACGCAUCACUGGUGUUCGGGUUGUCAUGCCAAUGGCACUGCCCGGUAGCUAAAUGCGGAAGAGAUAAGUGCUGAAAGCAUCUAAGCACGAAACUUGCCCCGAGAUGAGUUCUCCCUGAGACUUUAAGUCUCCUGAAGGAACGUUAAAGACGAUGACGUUGAUAGGCCGGGUGUGUAAGCGCAGCGAUGCGUUGAGCUAACCGGUACUAAUGAACCGUGAGGCUUAACCUUACAACGCCGAAG
rnacentral:rRNA from 1 species